AAUGAACACAAUGCCUGACCACACUACUAGAGAGAGAAAGGGGUGGGGAGAGAGAGAGAGUUGGAGAGAGGGAGUAGAAACAGAGAAGGAAAGGUAGGUGGGGAGGAGGUGAGGAGAGAGAGAGAGUUGGAGAGAGGGAGUAGAAACAGAGAAGGAAAGGUAGGUGGGGAGGAGGUGAGGAGAGAGAUUAGAAAGAGAGAAGGUAAGGUAGUUGAGGAGGAGGUGAAGAGAGAGAGAGACAGGUAGAGAGAGAAAGAGAGUGUCCAAUUCCCCCAUUCACAACUACUCUCUUUACCCUGUUAGCUUCGAUGCUAAUUCGGUCAGACCAGAACUCUAUCGGGUCUAUAUUCCUCUCCGUUUCCUACAGACCCUCUCCACCUCUGACCCUCCACCUUUGACCUUUCACGUAUCCCCCAGAUCGAGUGUUGUGUCCUGGAGUCCAUCCCAGAGUCGUCGAGGUCGUCGAGAGACGAGACCCAGURGUUAUCGAGAGAUGAGAAGGAUACUCUCUACUCAGCUGGGAUGCUAGCCUCCUCCACACAGCAGGCGCAUGCUAACAGCUACGGCUCACAGCAGAGGAACAGCCAACCGUGCUCCACACUGAAGGACGAGAAAUCUCCGCGUCAUUGUUCCAGCGGCAACAUGGAGGACGGCGAUAAGCUCCUGGCCCCGCCCCCUUCUUUCGGCAGCCAUUUUGAGAGGACAAUCYCUGUUGUCAGGGGCAACCGUAGCCUUGGUAUGUUAUCGGUGUUUUUCAUUGUGGCGGGGUGUCUGUGUGRGUACGUCGUCGGCACGGCGAUACUGGGCGGAGAGGAGGAGAAACUGAUAAUUGAGGGAAGUCAAAGAUUUUUUCAGGAGAUGAGGUGAACACUGGUGUUUCGAGAGUUGACCUCUGUUUAAUAAGAAAACCCAUGUUGAUGCUCGUGAAAGGAGAGUGGACCUCUGUUAAUAAGAAACCCAUGUUGUGACUGUGAAAGAGAGUGACCUCUGUUAAUAAGAAAACCCAUGUUGAUGACUGUGAAAAGAGAGAGUGGACCUCUGUUAUAGAAAAACAUAUGUGAUGACUGUGAAAGAGAGAGUGGACCUCUGUUAAUAAGAAAACCAUGUUGAUGACUGUGAAAAGAGAGAGUGGACCUCUGAAACCCCCUGUGAUGACUGUUGAAAGAGCGAAUGGUCCUCUGUUAAUAGAAAACCCAUGUUGUUGACUGAAGAGAGAGUGGACCUCUGUUAAUAAGAAAACCCAUGUUGUUGACUGUGAUGAAAGAGGAGUGGCCUCUGUUAAUAAGAAACACCCUGUUGAUUGACUGUGAAGAGAGAUGGACCUCUGUUAAUAAGAAAACCCUGUUGUUGACUGUGAAAGAGAGUGGACCUCUGAAAACCCAUGUUGUUGACUGUGAAAGAGAGAGUGACCUCUGUAUAAGAAAACCCAUAUGAUGACUGUGAAAGAGAGAGUGGACCUCUGUAAUAAGAAACCCAUGUUGUUGACUGUGAAGAAGAGAGUGGACCUCUGUUAAUAAGAAAACCCAUUUGAUGACUGUGAAAGAGAGAGUGGACCUGUUAUAAGAAACCCUUGUUGAUUACUGUGAAAGAGAGGUGGACUAUGUUAAUAAGAAAACCCUGUUGAUACUGUGAAAGAGACAGGAACUGAACCUUAUUUAACUAGGCUACUGGGAAACAGUGGGUAACUGCCUUGUUCAGUGGCAGAAUAUUAUUUUUACCUUGUCAGCUCGGGAUUCGCCCCAAGAACCUUUGCGGUUACUGGCCCCAACACUCUAACUACUAGGCUACCUGUCUCCUCUAACAGCUAGGCUACAUGCCUCCUCUAACUACUAGGCUAACUGCCUCCUCUAACCACCAGGCUACCUGCCUCCUCUAACCACUAGACUACCUGCCUCCUCUAACCACUAGUCUACCUGCCUCCUCUAACACUAGGCUACCUGCCUCCUCUAACCACUAGGGUACCUGCCUCCUCUAACCACCGAUACCUGCCUCCUCUAACCACUAGCUACCUGCCUCCUCUAACCACCAGCUACCUGCCCUCCUCUAACCACUAGGCCUACUGCCUCCUCUAACCACCAGGCUACCUGCCUCCUCUAACACCAGGACUACCUGCCUCUCUAACCACUAGGCUACCUGCCUCCUUAACCACUAGGACUAACCUGCCUCCUCUAACCACAGCGCUACCUGCCUCCUCUAACCACGGCUACGCCUCCUCUACCCACCUAGGCUACGCUCCUCUAACCACCAGGCUACCUGCCUCCUCUAACCACUAGGCUACUGCCUCUCUAACCACUAGCUACCUGU
rnacentral:lncRNA from 1 species